rnacentral:rRNA from 1 species
GAUGAACGCUGGCGGCGUGCCUAAUACAUGCAAGUCGAGCGAACAGACGAGGAGCUUGCUCCUCUGACGUUAGCGGCGGACGGGUGAGUAACACGUGGAUAACCUACCUAUAAGACUGGGAUAACUUCGGGAAACCGGAGCUAAUACCGGAUAAUAUAUUGAACCGCAUGGUUCAAUAGUGAAAGACGGUUUUGCUGUCACUUAUAGAUGGAUCCGCGCCGCAUUAGCUAGUUGGUAAGGUAACGGCUUACCAAGGCGACGAUGCGUAGCCGACCUGAGAGGGUGAUAGGCCACACUGGAACUGGGACACGGUCCAGACUCCUACGGGAGGCAGCAGUAGGGAAUCUUCCGCAAUGGGCGAAAGCCUGACGGAGCAACGCCGCGUGAGUGAUGAAGGUCUUCGGAUCGUAAAACUCUGUUAUUAGGGAAGAACAAAUGUGUAAGUAACUAUGCACGUCUUGACGGUACCUAAUCAGAAAGCCACGGCUAACUACGUG